rnacentral:rRNA from 1 species
AUUGAACGCUGGCGGCAUGCCUUACACAUGCAAGUCGAACGGCUAGGCACGGGGGCAACCCUGGUGGCGAGUGGCGAACGGGUGAGUAAUACAUCGGAACGUGCCCGUAGCGGGGACAACCGAGUCGAAAGACUGGCUAAUACCGCAUACGCUCCACGGAGGAAAGCAGGGGAUCGCAAGACCUUGCACUAUGGGAGCGGCCGAUGCCCGAUUAGCUAGUUGGUGA